UCUAAUGAGAGAAGAACAUGACUUCCCCGUGAGUGCCGGCCCAGCCUCUGAACCUCACGGGCUGCUCUUUUUUCCUUUCUCAAUUCACUCAACAUUGUCAAGUGCUUAUUGUGUGCUGGGAUAUCAUCACAAAUUACAAAUGGUUCCUGUCUCUAAGGAAUUGACAACUUUGCGGGGAAAAAAAACAGGUCAGAAAAACUGUGGAGGACCUGUUUUGCCCUGGCCCAUACUUUUAGAAGUUACGUUUCUAGACUUUUAACUCAGGAAUAUUUCAAUUUACAAUUUCCAAACUGGGGAACGUGGGCUACAUGAAGACUUUCCAGGUGAUACAGGGAUCAAGUAGUUCUUGAAGACUUCAUUUCCAGAUUCUUGACCUUUCUGGGUCCUUUUUCCCAAAAAUGAUCUGUAUAGAAAGCAAUUGGGGCAACUCUUCAUGCUGUUCUCCUUGGCCUCCUCUCCCUCGCAAUCCCUCUGCUUUUACUAUAUCGUAGAGAGGCAGACCUCUCACCUGAGAUCUUAAUCUGAUGUUACCCUGGGGUUUGAAAAAUUCCAUGCCUUCAAUCAAGCAAUCAGUUCAAAAUAUUGGUGUCUGGAGGCAUCCCUCAAUAAAGGCACAACAAAGCCAUGGGGAUGGUCCACACAGGUAAAGCAAGCCAGCAGAAUGAAGGUAUUUUGACCUGAAAAGUACUCUGAACUCAGUCACAUCAUAGAAAACGGGCCUGCCACCAGGAUGGCACUUUGACACUUUUUUAUUAUUACUUCACCUUUUCCAUUCCCGGAGCAUUGUCAAAGAACGCAUCCUUACUGAGAGAAAUUUCUAAAAGAGGGAUGUAGAGAAUCAGCACGGCUACUCUUGCUUUCUUUCUCUAUAAGGGCCUACCUGAUUAGAUGAGACCCACCCACAAUGACCUGUCUUUUGUUUAAUUCCAAGUCAACUGAUUUUCAGCCCGAUCAUGGGGACAUACCUGUUCAUGCUCCAGUUAAUGCCUACAACGAAGGGAAGGGGUUAUAUAAGGCGUAUAUGCCGUGGGGUGGGAAUCUUGGGGACCGGGACAGAAUUUUGCCUACCACAGUAGACACCUUGGCUCUUGAUCAUUUAGAUUCCUCCCAAAUGUGAAAUACAUCCAUCCCUCCAAAUAUUCCCAAGAGUCUCAUCCCACUGUAGUAUCCAUUCAGAGCCCAAAAUCUCACCUACAUUUUAUCAACUCAUAUACAAAAUGUAAACCAGUGCCAGGUGGGAAUAAGGCUGCUAGGUGUAAUCCAUUGAGUACAGUGGCUAGGGCACAAAUUUUCUCCAUCUGUGCAUUUGUGAAAAGAUAUAAAUUAUUUGCUCCCAACAUACUCGGAGGAGUAUGAAGAAUAGUUGCAGAUAUUGUGGUUCCAAAAAUGGUAAAAUGGAACAUACAGCUCUUCCAUUUGCCAUUAAAGGCAGUCCUGAAAUCCAGCUGAGCAAGUGGGAAUUUCCUGAUCAGAUUUCAAGGCCCGGGAAUAAUUCUCCCUGGUUCCCAGAUCCGCUGUUUAGGCUCUUGGUUCUAUCCUCUGACUCCUUCCUUUUUCAUGAAGGAGUUGAGCAAUUUUAGUAGCCAAGCAGCCAGCUUCCUGCAGAGAAUUUUGGGAAUCAACUGUCUUUUUUUUUUUUUUUUUAAUUUCCUGUUCUCUUUGUCCUCUUUAGCCCAAGCUGGCCAUGUUUCUGCUGAAACAAUUUUCUCAAGUUUGUGGGUCUUUAGCGAAUUUUACUGAUUUCACUCCAUUUGAUAAAAGCCACAUCUACGAAUGUUUGCAAGAUAAUCAUUUCACUCUCUUAGGCAGCAGGUGAGCUGACUAAAGGACAACACCCUGAAGCUUCCUAGAGGCCUUCUCACUUGACCAAGGCACACAUUUACCUUCGUGAAAGGGCUUUUGUAUGGCUGAGUAUGCUCACAUUUUAUCUUUCUGAGGUUUAUUUGUUCAUAAAUUGAAGGGCUUCAGGUUGUUUCUAGUUUGGGGCUAUUAUGAAUAAACACUUGUUUACAAGA